rnacentral:rRNA from 1 species
GAUGAACGCUAGCUACAGGCUUAACACAUGCAAGUCGAGGGACCGGCGCGCGGGUGAGUAACACGUAUCCCACCUGCCCUUUACUCGGGGAUAGCCUGUCGCAGGAAAGAUUACUACCCGACAAAAAGUAUGGGGAUGCGUUCCAUUAGGUUGUUGGUGAGGUAACGGCUCACCAAGCCUUCGAUGGAUAGGGGUUCUGAGAGGAAGGUCCCCCACAUUGGAAGUGAGACACGGUCUAAUCUGCUACGGGAGGCAGAAGUGUGUAAUAUUGGGCAAUGGGCGCUAGCCUGAACCAGCCAAGUAUCGUGAAGGAUGAAGGCUUAUGGGUCGUAAACUUCUUAUAUAUAAGAAUAUUUAUUAUAUGAAUAAGGAUCGGCUAACUCCGUGCCAGCCGCCGCGGUAAUUC